GCCGCCCAUUCUAAAAGUUAUGUCGGCCCACCGGCGUUUUUUUGGGUGGCAUGCCACCAGCGGAUUACCGUGGGUGGACCGCCGUCUGGACACCAGUGGCUAACCGAUGGCCCACCCGGUGAUGUUUUUAAUGUUGUUGGCUGUUCUGUACCUGAUAAGUACUUUUGUUUAACACUUUUUACAUUUUAAACAAAUGAGGCACUAAAUAAAAAUAUAGUUAUUAAUAAAAGCAAAGUUUAGUAAAUAAAACUACAAGAGGUUUUAAAUAUAACAGGUUAUUAUUAAAACAAAACAAAAUUAAGUUUAAAAAUCAAGAUUUAAUAUUAAAUGUCAUUAUUUAAUAUGUUUAUGAAUUGUUUAAAUGUUUAUGUAAAUGCUGCGUGACUUUAAAGUGUCCAUUACCGAGCCCCAUUCAAGCACUGCAGCAGAGAGCGUUGUCAUGGAAACGGAGCAACGACACGACACCUGACCGUCAACAGCACUUCUCUCAUGCGGCAGUUUUCACUAAUUUCAGGUAAGUUUAGUCGCUAAAAUCACGCAAAUGUUACAUAUAACUGUUUCUGACACUUUUCUUACUGGUAAUUGACAUAUUUCUGUUGAACAUGUUUUUUAUAGAGACUGUUGUGUCUUUGGAAAAAGUCCGUUAGAGUUUUAGCAGAGGUAACGUUAGCAUUAGGCUAGCUAUUGUUUAUAAAAGUGUUG
rnacentral:lncRNA from 1 species